GACGAACGUUGGCGGCGUGCCUAAUACAUGCAAGUCAACUGAAAUACCGGUAGCAAUACUGGUAUGGAGGUGGCGCACGGGUGAGUAACACGUAGGUAAUCUGCCUUCAGGUCUGACAUAACCCAUCGAAAGGUGAGCUAAUAUCAGAUGAUGCAGCGGCUUGACAUCAAGACAGUUGUUAAAGCUUCGGCGCCUGAAGAUGAGCCUGCGUCUGAUUAGCUAGUUGGCGGGGUAACGCCCACCAAGGCUGCGAUC
rnacentral:rRNA from 1 species